AGUGAACGCUGGCGGUAGGCCUAACACAUGCAAGUCGAACGGCAGCACAGUAAGAGCUUGCUCUUACGGGUGGCGAGUGGCGGACGGGUGAGGAAUACAUCGGAAUCUACUUUUUCGUGGGGGAUAACGUAGGGAAACUUACGCUAUACCGCAUACGACCUACGGGGGAAAGCAGGGGAUCUUCGGACCUUGCGCGAUUGAAUGAGCCGAUGUCGGAUUAGCUAGUUGGCGGGGUAAAGGCCCACCAAGGCGACGAUCCGUAGCUGGCCUGAGAGGAUGAUCAGCCACACUGGAACUGAGACACGGUCCAGACUCCUACGGGAGGCAGCAGUGGGGAAUAUUGGACAAUGGGCGCAAGCCUGAUCCAGCCAUACCGCGUGGGUGAAGAAGGCCUUCGGGUUGUAAAGCCCUUUUGUUGGGAAAGAAAAGCAGCAGGUUAAUACCCCGCUGUUCUGACGGUACCCAAAGAAUAAGCACCGGCUAACUUCGUG
rnacentral:rRNA from 1 species